UCACCGUCAAAGCUUCUUCCUCAUUCAGAGCAUUUUCUAUAAGAAAUACUACGCUGGGCUUGGCGCAGUUCUCUCCUCUUCAUCCGAGACAGCAUUUCAAAGAGUGAUUCUUCUCGGAGGGCGUUCAGGGGUAUACUUGCUUGCACAGAGUGAUGAUAUCUUGUAUGAUUCUCCAUAGUGGCGGUAACUCAGCUCUUUACAGUUCAACUGUCUCGACUGCCAUUUUUGGUUCAACUGCAGUUUAAUUUGGUGCAAGCACAGACUGUAUACCGUUUUUUGCCUUUCUAUGGUGGUUAGUUCAAGAUGCAAGCACAGAUUAGCGAUGUUAAAUCGGAUCAAGUAUAAUGGUAGGUAGCUAGAUUACACUGUCGCGUUUCGAGUCGAAUUUGAAGCUUAUAUUGACAAUAGUAAGAAUUAGAAUGGUAAAAACACAUGUUUAGGAGUUCCAAUUUCAGUAUCUAUGGCAACGAUUUGAUUGAAAA